CCUCGAUCUCCUCGAGGUCCUACAUGGAAAGCACCCAAGUGCGCACAACAGGAAAACGGAGUUGACUGUGGCCUUUACGUGAUGAGAUUCAUGUAUGACAUACUGAUGACUCAUUGUACAGACACACGUCAGCUUGAAGAGUUUUGCAAGGGGCAAACGGGACUUCCAUACACAAGCGAGGAACUUCAUGUAAUUAGGGAGAUGUUGGCGACCUACAUCACAUUUAAUUUGUAA